AUUGAACGCUGGCGGCAGGCCUAACACAUGCAAGUCGAGCGGAGCGGCGGACGGGUGAGUAAUGCCUAGGAAUCUGCCUGGUAGUGGGGGAUAACGUCCGGGAAAGGGGGCUAAUCCCGCAUACUAUCAGAUGAGGCUAGGUCGGGUUAGGUAGGUGGUGGGGUAAAGGCCUACCAAGGCAACGAUCCGUAACUGGUCUGAGAGGAUGAUCAGUCACACUGGAACUGAGACACGGUCCAGACUCCUACGGGAGGCAGCAGUGGGGAAUAUUGGACAAUGGGCGAAAGCCUGAUCCAGCCAUGCCGCGUGUGUGAAGAAGGUCUUCGGAUUGUAAAGCACUUUAAGUUGGGAGGCGUUACCAACAGAAUAAGCACCGGCUAACUUCGUGCCAGCAGCCGCGGUAAUUC
rnacentral:rRNA from 1 species